rnacentral:rRNA from 1 species
CCCGCACAAGCGGUGGAGCAUGUGGUUAAUUCGACGCAACGCGAAGAACCUUACCAGGGCUUGACAUCCCCUGACCGCGUAUGAAAGUACGUUUUCACCCUCGGGUGACAGGGAGACAGGUGGUGCAUGGUUGUCGUCAGCUCGUGUCGUGAGAUGUUGGGUUAAGUCCCGCAACGAGCGCAACCCCUACGCUUAGUUGCUAACGCGUGAAGGCGAGCACUCUAGACGAACUGCCGUUGACAAAACGGAGGAAGGUGGGGAUGACGUCAAAUCAUCAUGCCCCUUAUGUUCUGGGCUACACACGUGCUACAAUGGCCGGUACAGACGGACGCAAAGCCGCGAGGUGGAGCAAAUCCUAAAAAGCCGGUCUCAGUUCGGAUUGCAGGCUGCAAUUCGCCUGCAUGAAGUCGGAAUCGCUAGUAAUCGCAGGUCAGCAUACUGCGGUGAAUACGUUCCCGGGCCUU